GGCUGGUGGAGUGGGAUAGCUCAGUCGGUAGAGCAUGAGACUCUUAAUCUCAGGGUUGUGGGUUUGAGACCCUUGUUGGUUG